AGACCCGAAACCCGGUGAUCUAGCCAUGGGCAGGUUGAAGGUUGGGUAACACUAACUGGAGGACCGAACCGACUAAUGUUGAAAAAUUAGCGGAUGACCUGUGGCUGGGGGUGAAAGGCCAAUCAAACCGGGAGAUAGCUGGUUCUCCCCGAAAGCUAUUUAGGUAGCGCCUCGUGAAUUCAUCUCCGGGGGUAGAGCACUGUUUCGGCUAGGGGGCCAUCCCGGCUUACCAACCCGAUGCAAACUGCGAAUACCGGAGAAUGUUAUCACGGGAGACACACGGCGGGUGCUAACGUCCGUCGUGAAGAGGGAAACAACCCAGACCGCCAGCUAAGGUCCCAAAGUCAUGGUUAAGUGGGAAACGAUGUGGGAAGGCCCAGACAGCCAGGAUGUUGGCUUAGAAGCAGCCAUCAUUUAAAGAAAGCGUAAUAGCUCACUGGUCGAGUCGGCCUGCGCGGAAGAUGUAACGGGGCUAAACCAUGCACCGAAGCUGCGGCAGCGACACUGUGUGUUGUUGGGUAGGGGAGCGUUCUGUAAGCCUGUGAAGGUGUGUCGUGAGGCAUGCUGGAGGUAUCAGAAGUGCGAAUGCUGACAUAAGUAACGAUAAAGCGGGUGAAAAGCCCGCUCGCCGGAAGACCAAGGGUUCCUGUCCAACGUUAAUCGGGGCAGGGUGAGUCGACCCCUAAGGCGAGGCCGAAAGGCGUAGUCGAUGGGAAACGGGUUAAUAUUCCCGUACUUGGUGUUACUGCGAAGGGGGGACGGAGAAGGCUAUGUUGGCCGGGCGACGGUUGUCCCGGUUUAAGCGUGUAGGUGUGUGUUCCAGGUAAAUCCGGUUCACUUUAACACUGAGGCGUGACGACGAGGCACUACGGUGCUGAAGCAACAAAUGCCCUGCUUCCAGGAAAAGCCUCUAAGCAUCAGGUAACAUCAAAUCGUACCCCAAACCGACACAGGUGGUCAGGUAGAGAAUACCAAGGCGCUUGAGAGAACUCGGGUGAAGGAACUAGGCAAAAUGGUGCCGUAACUUCGGGAGAAGGCACGCUGACACGUAGGUGAAGUGAUUUACUCAUGGAGCUGAAGUCAGUCGAAGAUACCAGCUGGCUGCAACUGUUUAUUAAAAACACAGCACUGUGCAAACACGAAAGUGGACGUAUACGGUGUGACGCCUGCCCGGUGCCGGAAGGUUAAUUGAUGGGGUCAGCGCAAGCGAAGCUCCUGAUCGAAGCCCCGGUAAACGGCGGCCGUAACUAUAACGGUCCUAAGGUAGCGAAAUUCCUUGUCGGGUAAGUUCCGACCUGCACGAAUGGCGUAAUGAUGGCCAGGCUGUCUCCACCCGAGACUCAGUGAAAUUGAACUCGCUGUGAAGAUGCAGUGUACCCGCGGCAAGACGGAAAGACCCCGUGAACCUUUACUAUAGCUUGACACUGAACAUUGAGCCUUGAUGUGUAGGAUAGGUGGGAGGCUUUGAAGUGUGGACGCCAGUCUGCAUGGAGCCGACCUUGAAAUACCACCCUUUAAUGUUUGAUGUUCUAACGUGGACCCGUUACCCGGGUUGCGGACAGUGUCUGGUGGGUAGUUUGACUGGGGCGGUCUCCUCCUAAAGAGUAACGGAGGAGCACGAAGGUUGGCUAAUCCUGGUCGGAC
rnacentral:rRNA from 2 species